UACGGCCGAAUCACGUUGGAACAGCAGUUCCCGUACGAUCAUCGAAGUUAAACAAUGUCGAGCCUGGUCAGUACCUAGAUGGGUAACCGCGUGGGAAUGCCAGGUGCUGUAAG